UAUCUCUAGAAAAAAGCUCGAUAUUUAGCUGUCAGACUAGCGGUGCCAAGCACGAAGCUCGGUCAGCUGGCCAUAUGUCUGAGCUCAAUAUUACUUGUGAUCGGUGAGAGUGUAAACAAAAAACUGAUCGUCAGCUGUUGGAAGCCGAAAAUAAACACACACUAAAAGUAUCAAAAAUAAAAGCAAUAAGAAAUUCUAAUUAUCAGCUGUCGAAUACGGAAAACGCCGCCGCUGACAAUGCCGCGUUAGCUGCUGACCUUGAAUUGAACGGAAUAAUAUAAUCUCCAUACCGCAUAGCACGCAUGCUCUAUAUCGCUCUAUCUCACUCCCACCUGCCACAUGAUGCGAUUGCGUGGAAGGCGCCAGCUGGGGGGUGCUUGACGCGUGACACGCACACCACUAGCAGAGCUUUUGCGAUGAGCGCUUUAACGAAUAAAAGCAACAGCAACAACAGAUUAAAGAAAAAAGUUCUCUUUCAGUGAAAGUGAUUUUAGCAAUUUCCAAAAGGCUAUUGGACUCUGCCCUUGAACCUGCUUACGAAGGACAUAGUCACAGUUUGUAUGGCUGCGUGUCCUUGAUUUGUGACAAGCGAAAAUGCAAAUCGGAGAAAUGACGUGCAUAUCGACUUUCAAAAGCGCCAAUAAUACCCCUUGAAACAUUUGAAUUGUCCACAAUGGAAAUGUCGAUCCCUUCUCGCGAAUUGAUGACAAUGCGAUGCGUUUCGAAGGGCUGUAAAAAUGGUAUGCAAUUUGUUAGAAAAUAUCUGUAUAAAUGAAGAAAAUAUUUCAUUUAAAUACCGCAAUUAAUAAAGGAUCAGAAUAAGUUUUAGCAAUGGA